UUCACACAAAGGAAUCUCAGCCGCACCCUAGCUAGUCCGCAGCCUGCCCCAAAUCACAACCUCAUCCAAAUUGACCUGCCCUAGCUUCCACCCCGACCACCUCCGCCGCCGAGCACCUUCCGCUGUGCCCGACCACCAUUCGCCACCCCCAAGCAUCCUGCCGCAGUGCUGGAUCCCUCCCCGACUAUUGUCGCCAGCCACCCUUCGCCUCUUUGUUCCAGACUAUCUGCACAAGGACGGUAAGGGAGUGAGACGCGAUGGGCGGAGGAGGACGAAGUCGUUGCCCACACCGCGGAUCUACCGCGGGGAUGCGGCAAGGAAGGACGCGGUUGCGCGGCCCCCGGAUCCGGCGAAGGACGUGCGCAAGAGGGGGCCAACAGGGCGCGGGGCACAACUCCAGAUCCGGGCGGCCCGAGCGGAGCGUGAAGCUAGGAAGCGGGCAUAUGCUUAUGGUGGCCACCUUCGUUGCAGCUGGCGGCAACGGCAUGAUUGUAGUUUGGCGGCUAGGUUUGGGUGCCCCGGUGUCACCCCUGCAAGUGACACGGAAGUGAGCGACCAGGAACCAGAAGAUGCCAACAGCCUGUGAAUAAGUUUUUGAGUGGCUGCCUGUCUGGAGCUAGCGGAAGAACAGGCUAGCUGCCAACGCAGAAAGACCAAGGCAGAGAAUGAAGGUAGAAGCGAGACAGAAUACCCGAGGAAAGUCGACCUUAAGACUUACUUGAGCCACGAGAAUAUUUCCCGGCUGGCCCUGGGUAAAAGAGUAGCUGAUACAAUCCUUGAAUCGAAUCAGCACGAUGAACAUGAGAGGCAUAUAGCUCUAGGUUCCAUCGAUCUAGCCAGGGGCUCACACCACAACCGCCGUUUGUUCUCCCCUUCACACUGCCUAUAAGUAGUCCAGCCCAUUCAGUGAGUAGCGGCAGGGGCAGGCUGGCAGAACAUCAUCAACCCCAUUUGCUUUGCAACCAGGAUGGACGCCGCCUCAAAAAGAUCUAUUUGCUCAAAUAGGGAAUCGAGGACAGCAAGGACCAUUGAAGUCCGAGAUGUUUGGAAUUGGACAAUUCAAUCUCUACUUUUCUCCUCCAAUGAUUC